GUAGGGUGCGAGCGUUGUCCGGAUUUAUUGGGCGUAAAGGGCUCGUAGGUGGUUGAUCGCGUCGGAAGUGUAAUCUUGGGGCUUAACCCUGAGCGUGCUUUCGAUACGGGUUGACUUGAGGAAGGUAGGGGAGAAUGGAAUUCCUGGUGGAGCGGUGGAAUGCGCAGAUAUCAGGAGGAACACCAGUGGCGAAGGCGGUUCUCUGGGCCUUUCCUGACGCUGAGGAGCGAAAGCGUGGGGAGCGAACAGGCUUAGAUACCCUGGUAGUCCACGCUGUAAACGGUGGGUACUAGGUGUGGGGUCCCAUUCCACGGGUUCCCGUGCCGUAGCUAACGCUUUAAGUACCCGCCUGGGAGUACGGCCGCAAGGCUA
rnacentral:rRNA from 1 species